rnacentral:rRNA from 1 species
CCUACGGGAGGCAGCAGUGAGGAAUAUUGGUCAAUGGCCGGAAGGCUGAACCAGCCAAGCCGCGUGAAGGACGAAGGUGCCAAGCAUUGUAAACUUCUUUUGUCAAGGGACAAAAUCAGGCUCGAGAGCCUGACCGAGGGUACUUGAAGAAAAAGCAUCGGCUAACUCCGUGCCAGCAGCCGCGGUAAUACGGAGGAUGCGAGCGUUAUCCGGAUUUAUUGGGUUAAAAGGGUGCGUAGGCGGACUGUUAAGUCAGCGGUAAAAGCCCGGGGCUCAACCCCGGCGAGCCGUUGAAACUGGUGUUCUGGAGUGAGUGAGAAGUAGGCGGAAUGCGUGGUGUAGCGGUGAAAUGCAUAGAUAUCACGCAGAACUCCGAUUGCGAAGGCAGCAUACCGGCGCUCAACUGACGCUCAUGCACGAAAGUGUGGGUAUCGAACAGGAUUAGAUACCCGAGUAGUC